rnacentral:rRNA from 1 species
CGGCGCCAUCUGUGCCAGCAGCCGAGGUAAUGCCGUGGUGGCAGACGUUGUUCUGAAGACUUGGGCGGAAUGGGCGCGUAGGCGGCCUACUAAGGCAUACGUGAAAGUCCAUGUCGCAACCGUUGAACUGCGUCUGGGACUGGAAGGCUUGAAUUCGGGAGAGGGAUGCGUAAUUCCAGGUGUAGCGGUGAAAUGCGUAGAUAUCUGGAGGAACACCGGUGGCGAAGGCGGCAUCCUGGACCGACAUUGACGCUGAGGCGCGAAAGCCAGGGGAGCAAACGGGAUUAGAUACCCGGGAGUC